CUGGGAAAUGAACUAGAGUUCGAGAUAUAGCUGUCCUUCCUUGGAUUUUGGUUUUACAUUAGUAUUUUAUAGGAGGGACAUAAAAAGAACCAAAUUUUCAUCAGGUCCUUGAGACAUUUCUAUACAAGAUUUCUCUGAGAAGGAGCCCAGGUGCUGUUCAACCUGAGCCAAUUUGUUCAUGGGAAAAAGGGACACGGACAUGUACUAAUCCAUCCACUGUCACUGGUCCAAAAGGGAAGUGGAAGAGGGGUGGGGAGAGGAGGCUGCUAAUUUAAGCCUGAAGAUUUAAAACGAUGAGCCCUAGAAGAUAAACACAGAGGAAUCCUCCCAGGGAUUUAGCUCAGUGCCACCGCACCUGCCUGGCAAGCACAAAGUCCUGAGUUCGAUCCCUGGUACCAAAAAAAAAAAAAAUCCUGAAGGAAGUUGGACCUCUGUGGCUCCAGUUUGCAGCUAUGGGCUCAAGUGAAUGACCAACUGGUGUGCAUCCCAGGAUCAGCCUCAUGAGCCAGAGGGAAAUCAUCCUAUCAGAGACUGAAGGGACACCUCUGCCAGCAAGGUUGGUUUUAGCAGGAAUGGUUGUGGCUCUCUGGCUCCAGUGAC
rnacentral:lncRNA from 1 species